CCCCCCCUCCGCACCCGCUCCUCGCAGCGCAUAUAACUCCUCUGCAGCCGAAAAGCCCCGGUGCCCCCGCCCUCCAGCCCGCCCAGUUUUUGGCCACACACGCGUGUCAUCGCAUCCUCACGACUGGUAGUGCUGGUUCCCCACGCGGCGGCCUGGUUCCUUGCGCGCGCGUGCGAGUCGUCGCCACGGGCAAGGGCUGCUUCUCCCUUUGGGGCACUUCCAUUACUCAUUUUCUCUUCAGUUAGUUAGCACACUGGCGAGUCGUCAAGAUGGCAGUGUAAGCAUUACAUUCAGUUUCUUCUUCUUCUUCUUCUUCUUCUUCUUCUUCUUCUUCUUCUUCUUCUUCUUCUUCUUCUUCUUCAACCUUUGGGCACCCCCAAAAGCAAAUGAGGCUCCCAAAGCAGAUAACAUAAAAAAAGUAAAGCCACAAUUCUACAAUAAAACUACAGAGCAGAACAGAAGACAGCAGUAGAGCAGGAAACUUGAUGAAACUCCUCUAGUUACUGUCAAACUAUCAUACACAACACUGUUAAGAAUGAUAAAAUACAGCAUUCUGCACAUACGUAGUGAAUCACCCAGAGUCCUGCUUUAUUUGUUUUUAGAUGCUCUUAUAUUGCUGUUUUGUUGCUUUUAGUUUGUAUUUUUGCUUUAAUGAUAUCGGGUUUUUUCUGUCGUACACCACCUAGAGAUUUUCAAAUACUAAGCGGUUUAUAAAGUUGUUUUAGUUAAUUCCAUAGAAAUGCCAGGUUUCAUUGCA